rnacentral:tmRNA from 1 species
GGGGACGUAAAGGUUUCGACGGGGAUUUUGAAGUGCGAUAAGCGGGUAGAGCUCGGGGUAACUCUUUAAAAGGCUCCAAACUAAAUUAAACGCUAACGACGAAUUAGCAAUCGCUGCCUGACAAAGGCGGCUGUCCGUCCGGGGAGUGCCGCGGCCCCGGAAUGUCCCGAACGGGAGUGCGUCCUACCUGACCACGGCAUCAUUUCAGCGGCGAACGUGAACGGUGAGUUUGCCUUUGUAACCGUCAUGCACUAAACGGCUGCCGACCUGUGUACCCUGACCGCCGGGGACAUGGGCGGGAGACAAAAAAGACGGUCUGCACCCGGAGAAAGUCGCGCGGAUGGGUUUUCGGACGCGGGUUCGACUCCCGCCGUCUCCAU